UACGUAGGGGGCGAGCGUUGUCCGGAAUUACUGGGCGUAAAGGGUGCGUAGGUGGUUGCCUAAGUCAGAUGUGAAAUCCCCGGGCUUAACUCGGGUGGUGCAUUUGAAACUGGGUAACUAGAGUGCAGGAGAGGGAAGCGGAAUUCCUAGUGUAGCGGUGAAAUGCGUAGAUAUUAGGAGGAACACCAGUGGCGAAGGCGGCUUUCUGGACUGUAACUGACACUGAGGCACGAAAGCGUGGGGAGCAAACAGG
rnacentral:rRNA from 1 species